UAUGGCCACAUCAUGUUCAAACACUGGUUCCCAUACGAUCACUGGAGUUAAGCAACAUUGAACAUGGUCAGUACCCAGAUGGGUGACCACUUGGGAAUACCAGGUGCU